UAAACUUCCAAAAACAAUUACGGUUCACAAUUCCUCGAUGCCUUAAAGGCAGGCAAGGCGAUAAGCCCCUGGAGGGGGCGAUAGGAAAGAACGAGCUAGAAACAGAGGAGAGGAGCCCGACAGCAAAAGAAAAUGGCGCUAAGCCUCAAAACCCCCUUCAUUCCCGCGAUGAAGAGGCCCACCUCCAUCUCCACUGGCGCCAAACUCCCUCAGCGCCUCGAGGUGGGGAGAUUUUCGUGCCGGAAGAAGGGGGUGCACCCGGAGUUCUACGAGGACGCGCGGGUGUAUUGCAACGGAGAGCUGGUGAUGACCACCGGCGGGACCCAGCCGGAGUACACGGUGGAUGUGUGGUCCGGGAACCACCCCUUCUACCUAGGGAAUCGCUCUGCGGUCCUCGUCGAAGACGACCAGGUCGAGAAGUUCCGAAAGAAGUACGGCCAGUUCUCCUCCAUCAUGGAAAUCCCCGUCCUCAAGGGCGAGAUCGUCAUCCCACCCAGGAAGAAAUCCGCCUCCGGCAAGGGCAAGGGCAAGAAAUAAAAGUUCUGCUUUUCGGAUUGAAGGAGAGCACAUGUAAUGAAUCUGAUGCUUCUAAUUAGUUGAGCCUUGUGUCUUCGCUUUGUCAAGUUCACAUACUCUUUUCUGGUUUUAUUAGCUUUUAUGCAUAAUCUUAUCAGGAACGCAAGGGAUUGGCUUGUUUAAUGUUAGAGCCAAGCAUGUUGUGGUGUUAGUUGUUCUUGAAUGAUUGGUUAGUGAUAUCAACGAAAACUACUUACUAUGAACUGUGUCUAAACAUAGUCUCUGGCACUCAUAAUGGCUCUUCUUCAAGAAUUAUUGCAGGAUUCUUGCAAUUAUAAUCUUAAAGUUGCUUCUUUGAACAAUCAGAUUGUCAACAUAUCCCUGAUGGAAUCUCACAGAUAACUCAGUUGGAAGUUGUCCAAGAUUUUGUUAGCUAGAAAAGGGAGCUUAUCUUAUCAAGUAUCAUUGGUUCUUGGUCUUAAGUGUUAUACUGCCCAAAGUCACUCUCAGCUGAAUUGUUGUUGUUACAGCUGUGUGAAAUUGUGAUCGAUGAUCUAAGAACAUUAGAUUCUGGACAGUACCCUAAUCAUGAAGUUGGUAGAUUAACUUGUAGGUAGGCUCCAAAGCAGAUGGAUGUUGGACUGUGGGCUAGGGUGCUGCUGUUUUUCUUUGCUUUAUUGUGGGUAUGCAGUGCCAGCUUCUACCUGAUAAGUGCUUCAACUGCUGUUAGAGUCCAGGUGUCCUGCGAAAGGAUUGGAGAUUAAAUCCUAGGCAAUAGGCUUAGGAGGACUGUUCUAUUCAUCAAGAUCUUUGUUAUGGUGAUUAUAGUGCAA